GAAAUGCGAUAAGUAAUGUGAAUUGCAGAAUUCCGUGAAUCAUCGAAUCUUUGAACGCACAUUGCGCCCUCUGGCAUUCCGGGGGGCAUGCCUGUCCGAGCGUCAUUACGCACCCUCAAGCCCGGCUUGUGUGAUGGGCCCCGGCGUCUCGUUCGCGAGACGGGCCCGAAAGGCAGCGGCGGCGUCGACCCGAUGAGCCCGAGCGUAUGGGGACUUCUGUCACACGUUCGCGGUGCGGACCGGCGCCUGCUUGACUUUUCUGAUUAUCCAGGUUGAUCUCGGAUCAGGUAGGGAUACCCGCUGAACUUAAGC
rnacentral:misc_RNA from 1 species